GACGAACGCUGGCGGCAUGCCUAACACAUGCAAGUCUAGGGGUAGCAAUACCACUGGCGCACGGGUGAGUAACACGUAGGUUAUCUGCCCCCAUCACAGACAUAACCCCGGGAAACCGGGGCUAAUAUCUGAUGAGGUCGCGAGAUCAAAGCUUCGGCGGAUGGGGAUGAGCCUGCGGCUGAUUAGCUAGUUGGUGAGGUAAUGGCUCACCAAGGCGACGAUCAGUAGCUGGUCUGAGAGGACGAACAGCCACACUGGAACUGAGACACGGUCCAGACUCCUACGGGAGGCAGCAGUGAGGAAUAUUGGUCAAUGGGGAGCAAUCCUGAACCAGCAAUGCCGCGUGUGGGAUGACAGGGCUUCGCCUUGUAAACCACUGUCGGACGGGACGAAAGGAGGCCUCGGGCCUCUGGGACGGUACCGUCAAAGGAAGGGUCGGCUAACUACGUGCCAGCAGCCGCGGUAAU
rnacentral:rRNA from 1 species